UCGUCGAUGAGCUGCAGGAUGAGCAGGCUCGGCACCAUCGAUGCCAGGAUCAGGAUGGCGAGCUGGAUGAGCUUGCGUUGCAGCCGCAUCGGCGGCC
rnacentral:tRNA from 1 species